rnacentral:rRNA from 1 species
GAUGAACGCUGGCGGCGUGCCUAAUACAUGCAAGUCGAGCGAACGGACGAGAAGCUUGCUUCUCUGAUGUUAGCGGCGGACGGGUGAGUAACACGUGGAUAACCUACCUAUAAGACUGGGAUAACUUCGGGAAACCGUAGCUAAUACCGGAUAAUAUUUUGAACCGCAUGGUUCAAAAGUGAAAGACGGUCUUGCUGUCACUUAUAGAUGGAUCCGCGCUGCAUUAGCUAGUUGGUAAGGUAACGGCUUACCAAGGCAACGAUGCAUAGCCGACCUGAGAGGGUGAUCGGCCACACUGGAACUGAGACACGGUCCAGACUCCUACGGGAGGCAGCAGUAGGGAAUCUUCCGCAAUGGGCGAAAGCCUGACGGAGCAACGCCGCGUGAGUGAUGAAGGUCUUCGGAUCGUAAAACUCUGUUAUUAGGGAAGAACAUAUGUGUAAGUAACCGUGCACAUCUUGACGGUACCUAAUCAGAAAGCCACGGCUAACUACGUGC